GAUGAACGCUGGCGGCGUGCCUAAUACAUGCAAGUCGAGCGAAUGGAUUAAGAGCUUGCUCUUAUGAAGUUAGCGGCGGACGGGUGAGUAACACGUGGGUAACCUGCCCAUGAGACUGGGAUAACUCCGGGAAACCGGGGCUAAUACCGGAUAACAUUUUGAACCGCGUGGUUCGAAAUUGAAAGGCGGCUUCGGCUGUCACUUAUGGAUGGACCCGCGUCGCAUUAGCUAGUUGGUGAGGUAACGGCUCACCAAGGCGACGAUGCGUAGCCGACCUGAGAGGGUGAUCGGCCACACUGGGACUGAGACACGGCCCAGACUCCUACGGGAGGCAGCAGUAGGGAAUCUUCCGCAAUGGACGAAAGUCUGACGGAGCAACGCCGCGUGAGUGAUGAAGGCUUUCGGGUCGUAAGACUCUGUUGUUAGGGAAGAACAAGUGCUAGUUGAAUAAGCUGGCACCUUGACGGUACCUAACCAGAAAGCCACGGCUAACUACGUGCCAGCAGCCGCGGUAA
rnacentral:rRNA from 1 species